CCUACGGGUGGCAGCAGUGAGGAAUAUUGGUCAAUGGCCGGAAGGCUGAACCAGCCAAGUCGCGUGAAGGACGACUGCCCUAUGGGUUGUAAACCUCUUUUAUAAGGGAAUAAAAAAUGCUACGUGUGCCUUUUUGCCUGUACUUUAUGAAUAAGCAUCGGCUAACUCCGUGCCAGCAGCCGCGGUAAUACGGAGGAUCCGAGCGUUAUCCGGAUUUAUUGGGUUUAAAGGGGGCGUAGGCGGUUUUUUAAGUUAGUGGUUAAACGUCGGGGCUUCACCUUGAUUUGCCAUUAAUACUGGAAGACUCGAGUACAGACGAGGUAGGCGGAAUACGUGAAGUAGCGGUGAAAUGCUUAGAUAUAACGUAGAACUCCGAUAGCGAAGGCAGCUUACCAGACUGCGACUGACGUUGAAGCACGAGAGCGUGGGUAUCGAACAGGAUUAGAUACCCUGGUAGUC
rnacentral:rRNA from 1 species